UGCUUGUGCAACAACUUCCACCUCACAUACCUUUUCAGAUGCUUGUUAAGUUCAUAUUUUUGCUAAAACAAAUUGUGGGUUUCCUGUGUUUCCUACCAAACGUAUGGUAUUUGUCAUGGUUGAUCUAAGUUUUGUUUUCUUGUGUCAUAUUUAUGACAUUAGAUGAACAUCAAAGCUACUCUAUGGGCCACAACAUGAAAUUUUGUGUUGAUGUAGUGGCGCAUUGAGCGAUGAUUGGGCUCUUUGAUAUGGAUGCUGAUGUGGGCACGAGGUCUUAUUGGAUUCUUGUUAUGUCAUUGUUUAGUCUUUAUGCUUCAAAAAAAUGACUGCUUAACUCGCAUUGGCUCGUACCAGCGUGUUGGGUUUUGUCAAAAAGGAAAGU
rnacentral:misc_RNA from 1 species